rnacentral:rRNA from 1 species
GGGUUGUGAGGUUAAGCGACUAAGCGUACACGGUGGAUGCCCUGGCAGUCAGAGGCGAUGAAGGACGUGCUAAUCUGCGAUAAGCGUCGGUAAGGUGAUAUGAACCGUUAUAACCGGCGAUUUCCGAAUGGGGAAACCCAGUGUGUUUCGACACACUAUCAUUAACUGAAUCCAUAGGUUAAUGAGGCGAACCGGGGGAACUGAAACAUCUAAGUACCCCGAGGAAAAGAAAUCAACCGAGAUUCCCCCAGUAGCGGCGAGCGAACGGGGAGCAGCCCAGAGCCUGAAUCAGUGUGUGUGUUAGUGGAAGCGUCUGGAAAGGCGCGCGAUACAGGGUGACAGCCCCGUACACAAAAAUGCACAUAUUGUGAGCUCGAUGAGUAGGGCGGGACACGUGGUAUCCUGUCUGAAUAUGGGGGGACCAUCCUCCAAGGCUAAAUACUCCUGACUGACCGAUAGUGAACCAGUACCGUGAGGGAAAGGCGAAAAGAACCCCGGCGAGGGGAGUGAAAAAGAACCUGAAACCGUGUACGUACAAGCAGUGGGAGCACGCUUAGGCGUGUGACUGCGUACCUUUUGUAUAAUGGGUCAGCGACUUAUAUUCUGUAGCAAGGUUAACCGAAUAGGGGAGCCGAAGGGAAACCGAGUCUUAACUGGGCGUUAAGUUGCAGGGUAUAGACCCGAAACCCGGUGAUCUAGCCAUGGGCAGGUUGAAGGUUGGGUAACACUAACUGGAGGACCGAACCGACUAAUGUUGAAAAAUUAGCGGAUGACUUGUGGCUGGGGGUGAAAGGCCAAUCAAACCGGGAGAUAGCUGGUUCUCCCCGAAAGCUAUUUAGGUAGCGCCUCGUGAAUUCAUCUCCGGGGGUAGAGCACUGUUUCGGCAAGGGGGUCAUCCCGACUUACCAACCCGAUGCAAACUGCGAAUACCGGAGAAUGUUAUCACGGGAGACACACGGCGGGUGCUAACGUCCGUCGUGAAGAGGGAAACAACCCAGACCGCCAGCUAAGGUCCCAAAGUCAUGGUUAAGUGGGAAACGAUGUGGGAAGGCCCAGACAGCCAGGAUGUUGGCUUAGAAGCAGCCAUCAUUUAAAGAAAGCGUAAUAGCUCACUGGUCGAGUCGGCCUGCGCGGAAGAUGUAACGGGGCUAAACCAUGCACCGAAGCUGCGGCAGCGACGCUUAUGCGUUGUUGGGUAGGGGAGCGUUCUGUAAGCCUGUGAAGGUGUGCUGUGAGGCAUGCUGGAGGUAUCAGAAGUGCGAAUGCUGACAUAAGUAACGAUAAAGCGGGUGAAAAGCCCGCUCGCCGGAAGACCAAGGGUUCCUGUCCAACGUUAAUCGGGGCAGGGUGAGUCGACCCCUAAGGCGAGGCCGAAAGGCGUAGUCGAUGGGAAACAGGUUAAUAUUCCUGUACUUGGUGUUACUGCGAAGGGGGGACGGAGAAGGCUAUGUUGGCCGGGCGACGGUUGUCCCGGUUUAAGCGUGUAGGCUGGUUUUCCAGGCAAAUCCGGAAAAUCAAGGCUGAGGCGUGAUGACGAGGCACUACGGUGCUGAAGCAACAAAUGCCCUGCUUCCAGGAAAAGCCUCUAAGCAUCAGGUAACAUCAAAUCGUACCCCAAACCGACACAGGUGGUCAGGUAGAGAAUACCAAGGCGCUUGAGAGAACUCGGGUGAAGGAACUAGGCAAAAUGGUGCCGUAACUUCGGGAGAAGGCACGCUGAUAUGUAGGUGAAGUCCCUUGCGGAUGGAGCUGAAAUCAGUCGAAGAUACCAGCUGGCUGCAACUGUUUAUUAAAAACACAGCACUGUGCAAACACGAAAGUGGACGUAUACGGUGUGACGCCUGCCCGGUGCCGGAAGGUUAAUUGAUGGGGUCAGCGCAAGCGAAGCUCUUGAUCGAAGCCCCGGUAAACGGCGGCCGUAACUAUAACGGUCCUAAGGUAGCGAAAUUCCUUGUCGGGUAAGUUCCGACCUGCACGAAUGGCGUAAUGAUGGCCAGGCUGUCUCCACCCGAGACUCAGUGAAAUUGAACUCGCUGUGAAGAUGCAGUGUACCCGCGGCAAGACGGAAAGACCCCGUGAACCUUUACUAUAGCUUGACACUGAACAUUGAGCCUUGAUGUGUAGGAUAGGUGGGAGGCUUUGAAGUGUGGACGCCAGUCUGCAUGGAGCCGACCUUGAAAUACCACCCUUUAAUGUUUGAUGUUCUAACGUGGACCCGUGAUCCGGGUUGCGGACAGUGUCUGGUGGGUAGUUUGACUGGGGCGGUCUCCUCCUAAAGAGUAACGGAGGAGCACGAAGGUUGGCUAAUCCUGGUCGGACAUCAGGAGGUUAGUGCAAUGGCAUAAGCCAGCUUGACUGCGAGCGUGACGGCGCGAGCAGGUGCGAAAGCAGGUCAUAGUGAUCCGGUGGUUCUGAAUGGAAGGGCCAUCGCUCAACGGAUAAAAGGUACUCCGGGGAUAACAGGCUGAUACCGCCCAAGAGUUCAUAUCGACGGCGGUGUUUGGCACCUCGAUGUCGGCUCAUCACAUCCUGGGGCUGAAGUAGGUCCCAAGGGUAUGGCUGUUCGCCAUUUAAAGUGGUACGCGAGCUGGGUUUAGAACGUCGUGAGACAGUUCGGUCCCUAUCUGCCGUGGGCGCUGGAGAACUGAGGGGGGCUGCUCCUAGUACGAGAGGACCGGAGUGGACGCAUCACUGGUGUUCGGGUUGUCAUGCCAAUGGCACUGCCCGGUAGCUAAAUGCGGAAGAGAUAAGUGCUGAAAGCAUCUAAGCACGAAACUUGCCCCGAGAUGAGUUCUCCCUGAC